UCCCUUUACUUAAGGAAAUAAAAAAUAAAAUAAAUACUUACCUUAAAACAACUUACCUGUAGAUCCUGUUAAAAUUCUGGUCACAUCCUGAGGGCUUGAGAGACAGUUUAGUUCAUCAACCUUCGCUUUAACCUUUUUUUAGAUUUCAGGAUCCUGAAUUAUCCUGUUAAAAUUCUGGUCACAUCCUGAGGGCUUGAGAGACAGUUUAGUUCAUCAACCUUCGGAAUACACAGAAGUUUUAUUGACUUGGAGGAUGUCUACCCCACCGGUCCAGAGAGUCUAUUUUCAACUGUUUCAGGCCAUUCAUCAUUUGGAGAUUUUGUCAGGUCCGGAGCCGCCUAAAGAAAAAUAGUUUAUACCAACUUUCUGGAGCGGGAUGAUGGACCGACAUCCUCCAACCCAAUGACACAACAGGAGGAACCUCACUCCACUGAGCCGCCGGGAGGAUCACAAAAAUCGAUUGAUG